rnacentral:rRNA from 1 species
CCUACGGGUGGCAGCAGUGAGGAAUAUUGGUCAAUGGACGAGAGUCUGAACCAGCCAAGUAGCGUGAAGGAUGACUGCCCUACGGGUUGUAAACUUCUUUUAUAUGGGAAUAAAAUGUUUCACGUGUGGGAUUUUGUAUGUACCAUAUGAAUAAGGAUCGGCUAACUCCGUGCCGGCAGCCGCGGUAAUACGGAGGGUCCGAGCGUUAUCCGGAUUUAUUGGGUUUAAAGGGAGCGUAGAUGGAUUGUUAAGUCAGUUGUGAAAGGUUGCGGCUCAACCGGAGAAUUGCAGUUGAAACUGGCAGGCUUGAGUACAGGAGAGGUAGGCGGAAUUCGUGGUGUAGCGGUGAAAUGCUUAGAUAUCACGAAGAACACCGAUUGCGAAGGCAGCUCACUGGACUGCAACUGACACUGAGGCUCGAAAGUGUGGGUAUCAAACAGGAUUAGAUACCCUAGUAGUC